GUUCAUAUUGAAGUCCAUAUUGAAGAACGCAGAAAAAAAUAGUGAAAGGAGUUUGGCUAUACAAUCGCGGACCUCAGAGUAUAACUUUGAUUUGAUUGGAUUCCUGUCAAAUUGAGAAGAAUGAAAGUUAUGUUGGCUUUUCUAUGCGUCGUGAGUGUGUUCAUUGCAUUUACGACUGCUCUGACCGAUGACGACAAAGGUCGAUCUUUGCCCUCACCAACUGACGAUGAAAAAGGACAGGUACAUUUAAGCAGGGAACGUUCUCCACAAUUAUUCCGUUUUUUGCGCUCCCGGCGAUGCCCUAUCAUCAGAUUCCCGUGUCCUCAAAUGCCAAAGGUUUGUGAUAACAUGAGAGACGCCAUAAGAAAGGGGAAACUGAAGAUUUUGCACAGGACAACGGAUCAACGCCAGAUACGAAGAAACAGGCGUGCGUCGGGAUGUCGCAACCUUCCUCGUAAAGCUGGUUACAACUGUGACGAAUACCCAUUCGCCUCUUCUUUUGAGGGAGGAAGUGACGCUGUUGUGAAAAUGGUACCUAUUCGCGAGAACUGUAAACAAGGGGCAACGCUGGGUAACUUCUACAGGCGACACAGGAUUGGACAUGGAGAUUGUUUUAGGGUCCGCGUGCCGUGAUGCAUCGAUACAUAGAGACUUUUUUAGCACUUUAAUUUCAACCUCUACGUUAUAUAUAGCACGUUUGAGAUAAUUUUUUUCAUUUCUUUAUUUGC